rnacentral:rRNA from 1 species
UUACUGUGACGUUACCUACAGAAGAAGGACCGGCUAACUCCGUGCCAGCAGCCGCGGUAAUACGGAGGGUCCGAGCGUUAAUCGGAAUUACUGGGCGUAAAGCGUGCGCAGGCGGUUUGUUAAGCCAGAUGUGAAAUCCCCGGGCUCAACCUGGGAAUUGCAUUUGGAACUGGCRAACUAGAGUCUUGUAGAGGGGGGUAGAAUUCCAGGUGUAGCGGUGAAAUGCGUAGAUAUCUGGAGGAAUACCGGUGGCGAAGGCGGCCCCCUGGACAAAGACUGACGCUCAUGCACGAAAGCGUGGGGAGCAAACAGGAUUAGAUACCCUGGUAGUCCACGCCGUAAACGAUGUCUACUCGGAGUUUGGUGACUUAGUCACUGGGCUCCCAAGCUAACGCAUUAAGUAGACCGCCUGGGGAGUACGGCCGCAAGGUUAAAACUCAAAUGAAUUGACGGGGGCCCGCACAAGCGGUGGAGCAUGUGGUUUAAUUCGAUGCAACGCGAAGAACCUUACCUACUCUUGACAUCCACAGAAGAGACCAGAGAUGGACUUGUGCCUUCGGGAACUGUGAGACAGGUGCUGCAUGGCUGUCGUCAGCUCGUGUUGUGAAAUGUUGGGUUAAGUCCCGCACCGAGCGCAACCCCUAUCUUAUUUGCCAGCACGUAAUGGUGGGAACUCUAGGGAGACUGCCGUGAUAAACCGGAGAAGUGGGACGACGUCAAGUCAUAUGG